ensembl:lncRNA
UUUAUUAACUUUAAGAACAUGUUUUACAUAAAAACAGGCAACAUCAAAAAAGCUCAGUUGAUAAAUGAACAUACUAUAUCACAGAUGAUUUCAUUCCACAUUAACCUACAUGUAUUAGCUUAAACUGAAGGAUUAGGGAGAAAAUUGGAUCUCAUUCCACCUUUAAUUAAGGAUACAAAUUGUUCCAAAGUUAUUUCAUUAGGAUUCUGAAAAUCAAAGAUUAACUUGUGUCAUCUGAUCCAUGCAGCAAGUGAUAAAUUCAGUAUUUUUAAAGGAAACAUUGAAUUUUUUCUUGAGUCAAAUUGAAACCUUUCAGAAACUUGUUUAAAUGAAUCAAGUCCUACCCACCUUUUUAGUAUGCAUGAGCAAAAUACUAUCUAAUUUCACACUCAACUAAUCCUUUAAUAAUUUUCUUUCAGCCAGAAUGAAAAAGGCCAGUAUUAAUUUCCUAAUAAAAUUUUUUUCAAAAGUUAUCGAGGAUAUGACUAUAACCUUGGACCAGUUUCAAUUUCUUUUUAUUUUUUUCUGAGAAUACACCAAAGAUUAAUGUCAAUGGCAAGUGAGAAAUUGUCCCUAGAGAACUAUUCAAGGACUUUUUCUCACUACAUUUGAUUGGACUGGAAUGAACUGACAUUAUAGCAUCUUUAUCAUCACCUUUAAAAUUCUAUUUUCUCUUAGUAGCAACAGUGAAGACUUUAGAACUAUUACUUACUUUAAAUUAAUAAAGUAUAUCACAGACAAAAAUAGACACCUUUACAUUAAAGCAACAUCAAGGGCCUCAAUUUCAUUGAACAGAAACAAAUACUGAAGAAAUUUACAGGUAUGAUUUAAUUUUAGAGAGUGCUCUUUCUUCAGGGAAAAAAAUUAAACUAGAUCUCUCAUUUGUCUGUAUGGGCAAGAUAUGGUAAAUGUCAUGAUCAAAACACAUGCCAGUUAGAAACUUGAUCACAGAAAUGAUGCUCAGUGUUGAAGCCCAGCAAUAAACAAACAACAAACAAAAAUCCCCGCUCUCACCAGAGGCAUUUAAGCCUCUCCAUUGAAUUUCCUGUUUCCCACCGGUUUACGACCCUUAAUGUUACUGGAUGAAUGGUUGCAUAUUUGAGAUGAUUAAAAAUAAAAGACAGGCUUAAAAGCACCUCCUCCUCUAGUAUGUAAUUACAUACAAACUAAAGAUUCCUUCUGACAGUCCUAGGAACCCCAUUUGUUACUGUUUCAUGUAUAAGCACCAUUGAACCAAUUUUUAAAGCACAUUUGCAGUUAUCAAAUGUUUAGUGUGUCCUCAAGUUUCACUGAUUUGUUUGCCUUUAAGCAAGAAAAGAGUAAAGUGUGUUAUUUUCCUCUGCUUCUUAUCAUAUCUGAAUUGUCAAAAAUGUUAAUUUUGCAAGUGCUUUUAAUCACUAUUUUUCCCAACAGACUAGAAUGGCUCCAUGAAAUUUGACAAUUAAGGAAAUCUCUAUCCCCAGAAGAAGCACAUAUCUGACCCUCUAAACUGCAUGCAAAGUAAGGGUCUGUGUGAGAAUAUUUUUCCCAAACUCCUGAUGGGCAUGGCAGACAAUAUGUAGAAAAAUCUGAGUUUUGAACUGACCAACUUCAAGUCUUAAAAUCCUUGGGCAAAAAAACCAAAAAAUAUCAUCUAGCAGUUAAAAAAAUUAUUGACUUACAAAUUAUAGAAAAGAUAUGUUAUCUACGAU